rnacentral:rRNA from 1 species
UACGAAGGGGGCUAGCGUUGUUCGGAAUUACUGGGCGUAAAGGGCGCGUAGGCGGCGCGUUAAGUCAGGUGUGAAAGCCCUGGGCUCAACCCAGGAAUUGCACUUGAUACUGACGUGCUUGAAUCCGGAAGAGGAUGACGGAAUUCCCAGUGUAGAGGUGAAAUUCAUUGAUAUUGGGAAGAACACCAGUGGCGAAGGCGGUCAUCUGGUCCGGUAUUGACGCUGAGGCGCGAAAGCGUGGGGAGCAAACAGG